CUAUGUUGUGACUUGCAGAAAGCCUCCGAUUUCUGGCAGCCGUCUGCUUGCUCUCUCUUUCUCUGGAUCUGACCGUGGCUGGUUUACGGACGUCCUUCCCGUGGAGCUCGAUGCAUGGAUGUCCCGGCGGUGAUGCUGGUCCUUGCCGCUUCCACUGGGCUCAGUCAAAUGCGCGCUCCCUCUCAGUGGCUCAGUUGCAGUGGGGAAUGUGAGGAUAAACACAGAGUGAUGCUCCACUCGCUCUCGCUCUCUAUGGUGAGCUGAGACGACCCCCACCCACUUCUCUCUCUCGCUCUCUCCCUCUCUCUUUCUCAGGCUGUCAGCUGCUCACUCAGACUACCUCUUCACGCUGUCGCUCUCUCCCACUGCCAUCUCACCAUCUUGUUUUCUCAUUUCUCCAUUGAUUUCUCUGCUACUUUCUCCCUCUCUCUUCAUUGAUUUACCACAUGGGUGGCACAGCCAGUGCAGCCUCUAGUGGCUCCCUCCAUGAUGCUCAGGGUCUAAAAUGUUCACAUGAAGGAGUGGAGCAGGGGCCCCUUGAAAAAAUCACCUUGCAGCUGUUGUCACCGCAUCUCUACAACCUUAACUGACCCAACAAGAGCUUUACGUAACUCCAACUCUGAAGCCAUUCAAAGGUGCACUUGCUGGUGUGUUUUGGAUCAUUGUCCUGCUGCAGAACCCAUGUUGGUUUCAGCUUGAGGUCACAAACAGAGAUGGACGCACAUGGUUCCAUUUAUCACAGCAAGUCUCCCAGAUCUUGUGCAGGUUCACGGCCAAGACCAGGGAUGUUGGGCUCAAAAAGCUCUUCCAUGGGGGCUGAGCGCCUGACUUGCAAUUGUCUGCUUGAGGCAGUGUUUUUCUUAGCAUGAGCAACCACAACUCAACUGUGAGAAUGUAAGUUCAUCAACAGUGGAACACGCUUAUUAAUAUUUGUUUUCAA